AGAGACAGCAGCAGCCACGGUAAUACGUAGGGUGCGAGCGUUAAUCGGAAUUAUUGGGCGUAAAGGGCUCGCAGGCGGUUUCUUAAGUCUGAUGUGAAAGCCCCCGGCUCAACCGGGGAGGGUCAUUGGAAACUGGGAAACUUGAGUGCAGAAGAGGAGAGUGGAAUUCCACGUGUAGCGGUGAAAUGCGUAGAGAUGUGGAGGAACACCAGUGGCGAAGGCGACUCUCUGGUCUGUAACUGACGCUGAGGAGCGAAAGCGUGGGGAGCGAACAGGAUUAGAUACCCGAGUAGUCCCUGUCUCUUAUAA
rnacentral:rRNA from 1 species